GCGUGGGAGGAGCUAAAUGCCACAGAGGGUGCGCAGACGGGUCACGUGACUGUGCAGAUAACACUGCCGGUGCACGCGCGCUACCAGCGGGCCGACGAGACGGAGCGGGUGGCGGCCGUCUACAUUGACCCGCCCCGGGUGUACCUGGGUUGCGACUGGGACAGCGUGGACGGAUGUAGCUGCGCUAUGACGUCACUGCCGUGCCGGGCGGUGGGUGGAACCGCCUGCAGCUACGAACCCAUCCAGCUGGAUCACGGCCCGACGGCGGUGCUGCCCGUGCCGCUGGGGGACCUGCGAGACCUGGAGCUGGUGCUAGUGGGCACGACAGUGGCCGUCACCGCUAGCUGUCUGCUCCUGCUCAUGGUGGUCUUCAACAAGCAGCUGCAGCCGCCGUGACCGCACGCGGUGAGGCAGCUUCUCCUCCCGCACAUGGCAGUCAACAAGCAGCUGCAGCUGCUGCAGCUGCUGCCAUGGCAGGGGAGCCUCGAGGAGUCGCGCUGGCUCCCGUGUUUCAGCGAGGAAGCGGCUAUGUCAUGCGCAACGGCCGAGCCCUGGCGGAGUCCUGUCCUGGCGAAGGCACUGGCGGACGUGUGUUGCCAGCGGCCCGGCGUGUUACUGGCGGCGGCUCGCGCGAGCUCGAGGGGGGAGGGGGUCGCUCCGGUUCGCCUCAGCCACCGCACGGCUGGGACAGGGCGGUCGGUCGUAGCGCAGGCAGCGGCGGUCUCGGAGGCGCGCUCUCGUGGGUCAGCUGCGGGCGCCGUGGCCGCGGACAGUCCUUACAA